rnacentral:rRNA from 1 species
UAGGGAAUCUUCCGCAAUGGGCGAAAGCCUGACGGAGCAACGCCGCGUGAGUGAUGAAGGUCUUCGGAUCGUAAAACUCUGUUAUUAGGGAAGAACAAAUGUGUAAGUAACUAUGCACGUCUUGACGGUACCUAAUCAGAAAGCCACGGCUAACUACGUGCCAGCAGCCGCGGUAAUACGUAGGUGGCAAGCGUUAUCCGGAAUUAUUGGGCGUAAAGCGCGCGUAGGCGGUUUUUUAAGUCUGAUGUGAAAGCCCACGGCUCAACCGUGGAGGGUCAUUGGAAACUGGAAAACUUGAGUGUAGAAGAGGAAAGUGGAAUUCCAUGUGUAGCGGUGAAAUGCGCAGAGAUAUGGAGGAACACCAGUGGCGAAGGCGACUUUCUGGUCUGUAACUGACGCUGAUGUGCGGAAGCGUGGGGAUCAAACAGG